rnacentral:rRNA from 1 species
UAGGGAAUAUUGCACAAUGGGCGAAAGCCUGAUGCAGCGACGCCGCGUGAGCGAAGAAGUUCUUCGGAACGUAAAGCUCUGUCCUUGGGGACGAAAAAAAUGACGGUACCCAAGGAGGAAGCCCCGGCUAACUACGUGCCAGCAGCCGCGGUAAUACGUAGGGGGCGAGCGUUGUCCGGAUUUACUGGGCGUAAAGGGUGAGUAGGUGGUUUGAUAAGAUAGGGGUGAAAUCCCAGAGCUCAACUCUGGAAUUGCCUUUAUAACUAUCAGGCUUGAAUUAUAGAGAGGAUAGUGGAAUACCCAGUGUAGAGGUGAAAUUCGUAGAUAUUGGGUAGAACACCAGUGGCGAAGGCGACUAUCUGGCUAUAUAUUGACGCUGAGGCUCGAAAGCAUGGGGAGCAAACA